rnacentral:rRNA from 1 species
UACGUAGGGUGCAAGCGUUGUCCGGAAUUAUUGGGCGUAAAGAGCUCGUAGGCGGUCUGUUGCGUCCGCUGUGAAAACUCGGGGCUUAACCCCGAGCCUGCAGUGGAUACGGGCAGACUAGAGGUAGGUAGGGGAGAAUGGAAUUCCCGGUGUAGCGGUGAAAUGCGCAGAUAUCGGGAGGAACACCGGUGGCGAAGGCGGUCUCUGGGCCUUACCUGACGCUGAGGAGCGAAAGCGUGGGGAGCGAACAGG